rnacentral:lncRNA from 1 species
GCGGAGACGGUCGCGGCGGCGGCGUUGGUGGAGGGUCGCGGCGGCGCUGGUGGAGACUGUCGCGGCGGCGAGAGAUCCGAAACGACGGCGGCAAAGAUGAACCCGGCGGCGCUGCAGACGAAGACGAAGAUGAAGAUGAACUGCCGGAUCUAGGGCUCCUGCGCACAUAUAUAGGGGCGGACCCUUUAGCACCGGUUCCAGCCACGGACCGGUGCUAAAGGGUCCAGCGCGCGCUAGGGCGCGCUCCUGAAAUUUUCAGGACCCUUUAGCACCGGUUUCCACUAUGGGCCGGUUCUAAAGGCCCUGUUUUUUAGUUUAGGGUUUUUCAAUUGUUUAUAUAUACAGUUUAUAUUAUAAAUUGUAUAGUAAAUUAAAUAUCUUGCAUAAUGUUUUUUAAACAGUGACAUAUAUUGUAAUUUGUUUUAAUGUACACAUGAAAAUUUUUAAACUUAAAUAUCUUAUUGUAUUUUUAUAAUUUGCAAUGAUUUUGUAAGAAAUGUUUAGUAUUUUGUUAAUGCAAAAAUAUAUUAUUCCAAUAAAUUUACAAAAACUAUAUACAAUCAACUGGAAAUUUAUUUUCACAUCAUAUUGAUGUAAAACUUUUUAUUUUUGUUAUUUAUUACUAGGAAUGCUAGUUGGGUAUAGUUUUCAUCAAAUAAAAAAUCAUAUAAGAAUAUAUAUCUUGAUGAACACACCCUUUGACCGAACCCUAGAUUGUCCCAAAUGGAAAAGUCAUGAAUACAAAGUUUGCUACACUCAUCAAGUUCUACAUUUUGUCUAAUGGUCAACUUUUCAUUUGGAAAAGUUUGAACCACUGAAUUUUGAAUUUUCAUAGAACUCAUAGCCACGCAGCGGUUUCGGAACCCUAGAUGGUCUCGAAUGGAAAAGUCAUGAAUACCAAUAUUGUUCCACUCAUCAAAAUCUACAUUUAAUAUAUAGACCAUUUUUGCAUUUGACAAAGUUUUGGGAAGGUGUAGUUGCAAAUCCACAAUUGACACAUAUAGUUUCAUUUAGUUUGUGUGAGAUUCAAGAAUUGGUGGGUAUUGUUAACUUAAACUUUCUCAAAUGGAACAAUUGUGUAUAUAAAAAGUUUAGAUAUUGAUGAUAUCUAACAACUUGGUAUUCAAAAUUUUUUCAUUUGAAGUAAUUUAGUUUGUCAUUUGACCAAGUUUGACCAAAACCCGUCUUGGAUUUUGAACAAAUGUGCUUAGGAUUGGCUCAAAUUUAUCCAAAUGGAAAAAUGGUCAAUAUAUCAAAUGUAGAUCUUGAUGAUCUCUAACAACUUUGUAUUCAAACUUUUUUCAUUUGAAGUCAUCAAAUGGGCCAUUUGAUCAAGUUUGACCAAAGUCAAAGCAUUGGUUUUUACAAAAACACCCUUUGACCGAACCCUAGAUGGUCCCAAAUGGAAAAGUCAUGAAUACAAAGUUUGCUACACUCAUCAAGUUCUACAUUUUGUCUAAUGGUCAACUUUUCAUUUGGAAAAGUUUGAACCACUGAAUUUUGAAUUUUCAUAGAACUCAUAGCCACGCAGCGGUUUCGGAACCCUAGAUGGUCACGAAUGGAAAAGUCAUGAAUACCAAUAUUGUUCCACUCAUCAAAAUCUACAUUUCAUAUAUAGACCAUUUUUGCAUUUGACAAAGUUUUGGGAAGGUGUAGUUGAAAAUCCACAAUUGACACAUAUAGUCAUGACAAUUUUUGCAUUUGAUGAUCUCUAACAAUUGGAAAAGUCAUGAAUACAAAGUCAUGAAUACAAAGUUUGUUACACACAUCAAAAUUCACAAUUCUCAAAUAUAGUUUCAUACAAAGUCAAGCCGACACAACAGUGAACUUCUUCUUGACGUAUGACCCUUGGUUAUGAUCCUGCCGUAACGAUGGAGUAUCCUCAUUGUUUAACAGAAUGCUUGGGUCUUUGUUGACUAUGAAGGGCGGAAUUCGAUCAUCCCUUUCGUAAUCGCCUGACAUGUCUGACUUGUCCUCAAUUCCGACAAUGUUUCUUUUCCCAGAAAGGACAAUGUGGCGCUUUGGCUCAUUGAUGACUGAGUGGUCAUCAUUUUUUCCUCUCUUUGGUUUCGUAGACAUAUCUUUGACAUAGAACACCUGACUCACGUCUGCAGCAAGGACGAAUGGUUCGUCUUUGAACCCACUAUUGUUAAGGUCCACGGUUGUCAUCCCAUACUCCUUGUCGACUGUUACCCCACCUCCGGUCAUCUUCACCCAUUGGCACCGGAACAAAGGAACUUUAAAAUUAGCUGCAUAGACUAGUUCCCAUAUGUCUUCUAUGCGUCCAUAAUAUGUUUGUCUGUUCCCAUUUGGAUCCGUGGCAUCCACGCGUACACCACUAUUUUGGUUGGUGCUCCUUUUAUCUUGGCCAACUGUGUAAAAUGUGUUACCAUUUAUCUCGUACCCUUUGUAUGUGAGGACAUGCCAUGAUGGUUGCCUGGCCAACAAAUAAAGCUGCUCAUCAAUGUUUUCAUCACCUUGACAUUUUUUGCGCAACCAAUCGCCAAAAGUUUCCAUGUGCUGACACAUUAUCCAAGCUUCAUUCUUCCCGGGCCACUGGGACCGUAGGAAAUCUUUGUGUACCUCAACAUAUGGUUCCACCAAUGAGGAGUUCUGGAGAACUGUGUAGUGUGCUUUAUUGAAGUAAUCGUCUCCCGUACCAAUAUAUGUUUUCUUCCCAAGUGUUCCCUUUCCGCUGAGUCUGCCCUCGUGUCGAGAUUCAAGAAUGCCAAUUGGGUCAAGGUCUGGAAUAAAGUCAACACAGAACUCUAUGACCUCCUCUGUUCCGUAGCCCUUGGCAAUGCUUCCUUCUGACCGGGAACGACUAUGGACAUAUUUUUUGAGAACACCCAUGAAUCUCUCGAACGGGAACAUGUUGUGUAGGAACACAGGACCGAGAAUACGAAUCUCUUUGACCAGAUGAACUAGGAGGUGUGUCAUGAUAUCGAAGAAGGAUGGAGGGAACACCAACUCAAAGCUGACGAGACAUUGAACGACAUCAUUCUGCAGAGUAGCUAGUUGCUCUGGAUUGAUUGCCUUCUGAGAAAUUGCAUUGAGGAAUGCACAUAGCUUUACGGUGGCUAGACGUACGUGUGGAGGUAGAAUUCCUCUUAAAACGACCAGCAGCAAUUGCGUCAUUAGAACAUGACAGUCAUGGGACUUCAAGUUCAGGAAUUUCUACUCUGGCACAUUAAUUAUUCCCUUGAUAUUGGAGGAGAAUCCAGAUGGGACCUUGAUGCUGCUAAGACAUUCAAACAUGCUUUCCUUCUCUUCUUUGCUCUGAGUGUAGCUAGCAGGGCUUAAGUAAUGACGCCCAUCAUCUGUCUUUUCUAGAUGCAGGUUGUCUCGUUCUUUCAUACGCUGCAAGUCUUGUCGUGCUUCAAGUGAAUCCUUAGACUUCCCGUAGACACCCAUGAAUCGGAGCAAGUUCACACAAAGAUUCUUUGUCAGGUGCAUCAUGUCGAUCACGUUGCGGACCUCUAGGACAUUCUAGUAAGGUAGCUCCCAAAUAUGUAUUUCUUCUUCCACAUGGGUACGUGUCCCUUAGCAUCCUUGGGAAUAGGUUCGCUGCCUCGUCAUUUCCAAAUACCACUUUUAUAUCCUUGACCAUUUCGAGUACAUCAUCCCCAGUUCGAUUGAGAGGUUUGGUCUGGUGGUCUGCCUUGCCUUUAAAAUGCUUGCCUUUCUUUCGUACUGGAUGGUUCACAGGAAGAAACCGACGGUGGCCAAGGUACACGACCUUUCGACAUUUUUUUUCAAAAAUACACAGUCAAGGUCUUCAUAACAAUGUGUGCAUGCAUUAUAUCCCUUGUUUGACUGGCCUGAAAGAUUACUCAGAGCUGGCCAAUCAUUGAUUGUUACAAACAGCAAUGCUCGCAGGUCAAAGUGCUCUUGUUUGUACUCAUCCCACACGCGAACUCUUGGUUUGCUCCAUAAAAGUUGAAGUUCCUCAACUAAUGGCCUUAGGUAGACAUCUAUGUCAUUGCCAGGUUGCUUCGGUCCUUGGAUAAGCACCGGCAUCAUAAUAAACUUUCGCUUCAUGCAUAGCCAUGGAGGAAGGUUGUAGAUACAUAGAGUAACUGGCCAAGUGCUGUGACUACUGCUCUGCUCACCGAAAGGAUUCAUACCAUCUGUACUUAAGGCGAACCGCAAGUUUCUAGCAUCAUCUGCAAAAUCUGGGAAUUCUCUGUCUAUCGCUCUCCACUGGGAUCCAUCGGCAGGGUGUCUCAGCAUAUUGUCUAUCUUACGGUCUUCUUUAUGCCACCGCAAUAACUUUGCAUUGUCCUUAUUUCUGAACAGACGUUUUAAUCGUGGUAUUAUAGGAGCAUACCACAUAACCUUGGCAGGAAUUUUCUUCCUAUGACGUUCUUCACCCUCAACAUCGCCAGGAUCAUCUCAUCUAAUCUUAUACCGUGAUGCCUUACAUACUGGACAUGCAUCCAAAUUCUCGUAUUCCUCCCCACGGUAGAGGAUGCAGUCAUUAGGACAUGCGUGUAUCUUCUGGAUUUCUAAUCCCAAAGGGCAGACAACCUGUUUUGCUUCAUAAGUAGUGGUGGGCAAUUCGUUGCCUUUCGGAAGCAUCUUUUUUAUGAUCUUCAAUAACUGCCCAAAUGCCUAGUCAGAUGUACCAUUCUUUGCCUUCCAUUGCAGCAAUUCUAGUGUGGUACCCAGCUUUUUUUGCCCCUCUUCAGCGGUGGGAUAUAGCGAUUUCCUGUGGUCCUCUAGCAUGCGCUCGAACUUGGCUUUCUCUUUAUCACUUUCACAUUCUCUUUGUGCAUCACGGAUGGCAUCACCAAAAGCAUCAUCGCCCCGAUCAUCUUCUGCCGCCACCUCUUCUUCAUUAUCUCCCCCCAUUGCAACAUCAUUGAAGCCACCGUACUGAGCAAUAAUAUUGGCAUGGUCCAAUUCUUCUUCUUCUUCUUCACCUUCAUCCAUUAUAAUCCCGCUUUCUCCAUGUUUGGUCCAACAAAUAUAGUUUGGUACGAAACCAUACUUUAAUAAGUGUGAAUGAAGAGUUCUUGAGUUAGAAUAUUCCGUCAAAUUCUUGCACACGGCACAUGGACAGCAUAUGAAACCGUCCCUCUUAUUUGACUCGGCCACACUUAAGAAAUAGUGCACGCCAUUAAUGAACUCUUUGGAGCGCCGAUCGGCAUUAUACAUCCAAAUACGUGUUACCAUCUGCAUUAAAUAUAACAUAUAUAUUAUGAAAACCAUGCACAUAUAUAGUUUCUCAUCUUAUUGCACAACAUGUCUAAGAUACAUAGUUGAUUAAUUUAGGAAAGCUUGGCUACAACAAAUACAAUCGCAACUAGCACUAAAAAAACCAAAACUAAAAUGCACUUAAGCAACAUAAUUAGUUCGCGUUCGAUCCCAACUAUAAUAGAUAGAUCAUUCACUUGAUCAACAUCAUUGAACUCCUUUCGUCGGCUCAGUGCCUCACCACCUUCAGCCUCAACCACCUGUGCAAAAGAUUUCUUAAUGGUUCAAUGUAUUCUUCCUCCCAGUACCAACCUGUACAUCCGCCGGUACCGUCCCACUGAAAUUAAAAGAGAGAAUCAAAAGUUUAAUUAAUAUCAUUUAAAAAAAUAUGCACAUAUAUAAGAAAAUGUCUGGAAAUAACUCACAUUACGAUCUGGACACUUGUAGAAUAUACGACCCUUGUUUACUCCCUCUUUCGACACUUUGUACUCCAUCAAAAUUUUCUGCCCACACUUGCCACAAGUAAUGAGAGGGAGUUCCGAACGGUAUCGAUUUUGAACCCGUUGAGAGACCGAAGACCCGGUCACGGUUGCCAUCUACUAUCCAUACUCAAUUUUUAAACAAUUAUAAAUUCCACAUUUACUAGUAAACAUGUAUGAUACAAUGGACAUUAUAUGUAGUAAUAAAAAUAAAUCAAGUGAUAUUAACAAACCAAUUAAUUUGAACUAUCCUACUUUCUAAGAUCAUAAAAAUAUACUAUAAUUCAUUCUUGCAAACUACAUUAAUACUAGGUCAACUAUGAAAUAUGAUAUAUAUAUAUAUAUGGAUACUAAUUCAUGUGAAUGAUUCAAAAUAACAAUGUGGAUUUGAGCUAAAAAUAAUGGGAACAUCACAAGCCAAAUCCAACAUGAAAAAGACAAGAAAGACAAAAGUUAGUCACCUCCAAACACGAAGAAACGAUGAGGGAGUCGAAGAAGAUCAACAAUGGGCGUCGGAGACGAAGAAUAAAUGAGGAAGAAGAAGCUCCAAGAACAACAAUGGUGAAUGGUGCUCUCGGUUUCAAAUGGGCAGAGAGGAGGAGUGAUCCGGCCUAUAAACCGGACCUUUAGAACCGGUUCAUAAACAAAACCGGUGCUAAAGGGUCACCCUUUAGCACCGGUUUGUAGCGCUGGCCGGUGCUAAAGGGGACCCUUAGCACCGGUUGGUAACACGAACCGGUUCUAAAGAGUCUCUGCUCCGACAGCACCUGUCAGUAGCCGUUGGGCAGGAUGGUGUUAAAGGGGUCUUUAACCCCGGGCCACAAAAAGACCGAGGUUUUUGGCCAUUUUAGGCAUCGACCAAUGCUUCAUUCUGUAGUAGUGCAGGCAGGCUGCGUACGUCCAUUGGACGGCACAAGCACAAGUCUAUCUAAGACGAAAUAUGUGAGCCAAACAACGUGAAGCUCCUUCCGUCCACACAUGCAUCAUCUAGAUUAUAUGUGAAGAAGCUAAGUACUGCAACUACGUACUAAUCGGGUAGGUUGAUUAUAGAGUUGUCACUUUCUCAUAGAAUAUUUGUAUAUGUCUGUUAGAUGAAGACUCGUCAUGAAAACAAUGUAUAUAUAAGGACUCAAACGUGGCGGCAAAUGGAUGGCAGCAACCUAUGGAGUUAUUGACUGUUAUUCUUCUGUAGCUUUCCUGUUUGCAUGGGAACCUCAGCAACAGCCAAACAGCCUAUGGAGUACCACUAGAUCCUAGAGUAGUAUCUUUCUGAUAGAAAAUUUGAAUUUGUUUUUUUACGAAGAUUGGUCACGAAAAUAAUGGAUACAUAGAGUCAAACGCGUCGGCCAACGGAUGGUAGCAUAUGGAGCCAUGGACUCUGCUUCGUGUAGCUUUCAGUCGUCCCCACGUCGUUGAUCCCGUUGGCACAAGUAGUACCCUAUGCUUCUAGUGUUUUUUGCUGCUCAUCGCACUAUAAUACAAGACUCUCGUGUGUCUCGUUGAUGCUACAUACUGCCGGACGCAAGACGCCAGCAUUGGCCCUGUCUGCCGGGCAAGAGGAUCUGUCAUAUCUUAUCUUAUUAUUAUACUAACUAAAGACUCAAUGAAUAUAUGCUCCAUAUUAAACCUCAUGAGAUGGUCUACAAGAAUAGAGAAAUUAAUUCUAGCAAAAAUCACAAACAUCCGGCCGUCAAUCCAGAAGCCUCUAACAAUGAUAUAGCCAUUCGAUCUAUUCCAUUUUCUAACAAAAUUAUCCAUGUUUGACAUUAUUGAAACACCGUAAAAUAACCUCUAUAGAAAUGUAUUUACAAAAACUUUUAGUAAAACUCCAUACAAACUACCCACUGCGAUAUUGCUCGCUUGCCCAGUCCUGUAUCCUUGCCACCUACGAGAUGACAAGCAUUCAGCGGCAAAGAAGGAUUUCGGUGUACUAAAGCCUGAAGGUUGAUGCCGUGUCAUGACUCCUUACAAUUUCGAGCACAAUUCUGAAUGCAAAAGUCCUUUGCAGCACCAUUUAGUCUCUUUCUCUCUCUAUACAUAUAGCUAUGAAUCCGUAUAUACUAAAGUAUACAGUUCACCAAUCAUAAUCAAAGAAAAAUUCAUGAUAAUAUUCAUCAUAAGUGUAGGAUAUUAUUCUACAACCAAAACAUCAUAGACAUUUCACAUCUGUGCCAUGUAAACAUCACAAAAAUGCAUUAUAGAAUAUCGCAUAUAUAUUACAUAAAGCAUCACAUGUGUACGUCGUGAAUCAUGAAAUACAUGCAUCUAAAACAUCAUAAUACAACAUAGAAUAUUAUUUUGUCAAAGAACAUCACAGAAUGCAUGAUAUAGAAAUCAAUAUAGGACGUAGAGUACGUGUUCACUUGCAUGCCCGCAUCUUGCGUUCCUGGGACAGCUUCUUGGCGAAUUCCUCGAGUGCCUUGUCGUUGGUUGGCCCGUCAGGGACAUGCUCGUACAAGCCCGUCUCGAGGUUCACCUUCGCCACCUUCUGCUCAAGAACCUUACUUCCAACUUCAAUCAGCGCCUUCAUGUUGUCAUCAGUCGCACAGUCCAUCAACAACAGGUCUCCCUCCAGCAUGUCAGCCUGCAUGGCAAGCAAUCAUAUAUAUAAAAAAUAACAGCUAUAUUAUUGUAACAAUCUGUAAAUAAUAAGUUAUGUGUAGUAGUAGUUUUAUUUAAUUACCUGGAUGCGCAGGAAAUUGUUCUGGCAACCGAGGACAUCGAAGAGCAUUUCAGCACAAACAUCGACCAUGUCGUCGCUGCCUUGAGAGUAGAAGUCGAUGAUUGGGUGGGCACCAUCGUUCAUAACCCAUCCCAAAGGACCCCACUUGUUACAUUCCGCUGCGGUGUACUUCUCCGCCUUGUUGGGAUUCGCAGUGCCCGUCCCGAUGGACAGGACGAGGAUGUUGCUAUAGACGCUCGCAUCCUCCGCCGCCGCCGUGCCCAGCUCCUUGCUCAUCUCUAGAGCUUCCAUGGCGGCCACGGUCGGGUUGUUCAGGUUCAGGUUCAGGUCCAUGUCCCCGACGAGCUCACCCUCCAUGAUCGGCACGGCCCUGUUCUUCAGCUGGCUGCGGAUGCGCAUCACCUCCUUGGUGAGCACGGACAUGGCGACCAUGGUAGGGUUAUUGGCCACCACGCCACCGUCGACGACCUCGUACUGGUGCGGGCAGCCAUUGGCGUCUAUGGUCCGGAAGCUGUGCGCCGGCAGGUACGUCGGUGCCGCCGACGUGGCGAUGCAGACGUCGGCGAGGCGCGCGUUCUUCCCGGCGUCCCGCUCGGCCUCCAGCGAGUUGAAGACGACAGGCUGCAUCCGGCUCACGUCGAACGCCGGGAUCACGACGUUGCUCAGCGUGUCCGCCAGCUUGGUGUCCUUGAUCAGUUUGUUGAUCUUGUCAUGCAGGAACUCGCCGUUGUACUGCGGGCCUCCCUUGAUCUUUUUCCACAUGUCCAUAACCUUUUCCCGUAUGUUGUCGAACCACCAGCCGCUGUAAGAACACCCACAAACAUAAACAGGCAUCCCUACCUAUAAAAUAUGUUAUUCUGUAGCCACCUCCAUUUACGAUAAUUUUAUAUACAAAUUUACAAUAAUAUAUAUACAUAUUUACGAUAGUUGGGUUACUAUAACACAUGAGGAUAUUUACCGUAAUGUUAUAGUGAACUACUUAGUAAGGAGUUACUAUAAUCUUGUAAAUUAAUAUAAUAAUUAUCGUAUCUCAAAGUGGCUACAAAAUAAGUUAUUUUAUAGCCAACUAUAGAGUAAUAGUUCUAUAUUGUUAUUAUCGUAAAUUAGUAUAUAAAAUUAUCGUAAAUGGAGAUGGCUACAGAAUAACAUCCCAUAGAACUAUUACUCUGUAGCUGGCUACAAAAUAACUUUUAUAUAUAUACACACACGCUUAUAUGUACUGAAUAUAAUUGAAGAACACUGCACGUAGUACGCAGUUAAUUAAGCAUGAACCUAGGGUGUAGAAAAUAUAUAUAUAUAUAUAUAUAUAUAUAUAUAUAUAUAUAUAUAUAUAUAUAUAUAUAUAUAUAUAUAUAUAUAUAUAGAACUGGUUGAUCUCCUUGGCUGCAAACAGUGGCCUCUUGUCCUUGCCAGGCGCCGACAGCAUCGCCGUUAUCAGCCCGCCGGUGCUGGUACCAGCGAUGAAAUCGAAGUAGUCAGCAAUCCUGGCGUCCUGCCCGUCUAUCCUCUGCAUGCAGGCAAUGUAACCAAAUGUAUAUAUACAACAAUUAAUUAACUAAUAUAAUACUGAUGAUGUUAUACGCAUGUUGCGUCUGCCGGCGCAUAUUAUGAUAAUGAUAUAUUCAUGCUGGGGGCUAGGCAACAAACAAUACUAACUGAUGAUGAUGAUGAACAAAAGAAAGCAAACUGUCAUGUCAAUUUGUUUCGUUAGUUAUAAUGUUUUAAAUAGCAGGCUAUGACAUUUAGCGAAGAGUUCUACUCAACCCCUACACACACUACUAUAUAGAGAGAUCCAUGCAUUAGGUACAACUUUAAUUUGUGUUGGCAUCGUACUUGGAGCAGAGUCUCGAGGCGAGCUAGGAUGGUUGCAGGGAUGAUCCCACGGAUGCCUCCGCCAUCGAUGCUCAACACAGUGAGAACCCUUCCCUGCUGCGCUGGCGGGAGCGCCAUGAGCACUGUGUUGGAUUCCAUUGUAGUAGCUAACUAAUUAAUUCAGGACUAGCUAGCUUAAUUCUGCAAAUGGGAUUUGUUCGCCUGUCUCCCCGCUCAACGAUGCAGCUCCGUGGAGCUAUUUAUACACCGGCCAGGAGUAUGGAGCUCCCAAGUACUCCCAGCUAUCGUCUCCAUUGGUUUGCAUGGUGCAGUGUCUCUAACAUGGUGUAACUAUUCAAACUAGCUAAAUCAGUGCAUGCAUUCGCACAAGCCACUUUUCAGACUAGAGAUCUCGACAUCUUUUAAGAAAACGUAAUGGCCUUGUUAAAACUAUUACAUGCAUUGUUGAUUGAUAAUAAAUAAAUAAUAUAUGAUUUUAACAUUCACGGUAUAUUCUGAUCUGUACCAUGAUUUUGUUUUGGUUUUGGUGAGAACUGACCAUACAACGAUCAUUACAUUAUCGUUAUUAAUUACUUCUUUAUUUAGUUUAGUGUUUUAAGUCAUUGAGUUUUUAAUAAAUGGUAACUAAAGGAUUCAUGAAAUAUGGCUGAGAAACAAAGGCAUGUACAUGAAUUGAUCAUAUAUUUUUCAAAUUAAAGAUGUUUUACACAGAAAACUUCUAUAUCAAAAUUUGCUGAGGUCAACAAGAUGAAAGAUUAUGUAAUUAACAGUUUGCCUUUUGAGAUGUUUAUGGUCCCUAAUAUGUAAGGUUAUUAUAUAAUUGAGUUAUAAAACUCUAUAUUUGACAAGUUUUAUAUUUGAGAUUGUUUAGGCCUCCAGAUAUGUUUAAUAAUAGAUUCAGUAUAAACUAUAACAAAUGAAUACCCUAGGUGCUCACAAAUGACUACCGCUACAAAAAAAAAAGAUUUUGGACACAACUCAUGCCAUAUGAUUUUUGAUGACAAGGUGGAGCACAUCGUUGAUAAUAAUGUGAGGUGGCUACAGCUAACAGAGAAGCACAUCCAUCAAUCCCAAUCCAAUGCGAACACGGAGGACGCGCGGAAGUGGUUGGCGGCAGUCAAGGAAAUUGCAAGACGUCGCGUCGAGUUAUUUAUCACCUUGCUUGACCAUCACGGCAAUUGGAAUGUAUUAUCCUGUCUUCUAAGAUUUCUUUUGAACCUUGCAACGGAAAUUAAUACAGCAUACAAGGGUGGUAUAUGAGGAUGAAGAAAAAGGCAGCUGGAGAAACCACAAAAGCUACCCUUACACUUACACGCCUUCAUCAGACGAGCAACAGGAAGAAUAAUGGCUAACAAAGGUAACCCUCAAGUAACAUUUGAAUAUUUGACAGUGAAACGGCUAACGAAGGCCAAACAUCCACAUCUGAAGGAACCAGCACGAGCAUCAGAGACAAAACUUCAGCAGAGCGUGAAACACGCGGCAGAAAGAUCCAUCUUCAGUUCUUCUCACUGUCCUUGUCAUCUGUUUUGUCGGAAACUCGAUCUGAACACCCUCUACUAGUAGAGUUGCAAUGCAAACAAACAAAAAAAAGAAGGCUAAAUUAAAGGAAACACCUGCUUUUUCACAAGAAAACCUGAAUUUUUUGACCGUGUAGUCCAAAAAUUGGUUGAUUUGGCUGCAGAUUUGCUAGCCAAUUGGACGCAUCUAGCCCACUCUGUGCGCCCAUGUCGCACCCAUUUCGUCGAAGUGGAAUGGAACAAAAUCACCAGGAAAAUGAAGCGAUUAUCUCAUUGCUGACAUGUUUGUGGUGAGAUCACUAAUUAACCAGCCGGAGGCAACAGCAACGUCGCAUCAACACACCACGCGGCGGUCACCCACGCGUGCCAUAUAUAGAUGCAGACCAACAGCAGUCACAGGCCGUUGCAGGACGAUACAAAUAAAUGAGCUACAGCAUAUGGCCAUUUUAGGACCACCCCUACGGGCUACAGCAUGCCAAUCCAAACAUGCAUACGCAGCCACCGAUGCACGCGUGUUUCAUGGUCGUCAGUGAAUUAUCAGUGAAUUGUCCCCUACUCUAACUGCAUUGUGCAAGCAUAGUAACAGAAAAAAAAGCAUAAAUAACAGAAAAAAUAGCAUAAAUAAUCUAAGAGCAUCUCUAAGAGACCAGAUAAAAUUAUGUUCUAAACUAUAAGAUUUAGUCAUUAUGUAAAAUAAAAAAAAACUCACUCAAAGCGUAGAGUUCCAUAACAGCCUUUGUAUAUUAUAGCCAUUAAAGAUGAUAUGUUAUUUAUGACAAGCAAAAGUUUAGAGAUAUUAAACUUGCUAUUUUAGCAAACCAGAUAGCACACCUGUUGGACUUUAAUUUUUACUUUAAAAAUAUAAAAAUAGUCUAGGUACCAUAGAUAGUAUAUCUGUUAGAAUUGCUCUAAACCAUUUCGCUUUGAAGCGGUCCUUAAAAUUCGGAAGGUAAGUGCAGUGCAAUGGAAGAGCGAUGACCACCAAAGUUGAAUAAACGUAAUGCGAGGGCCUUGUUUAGUUCACUCCAAAAAUCAAAACCUUUUCAAGAUUCUCCAUCACAUCAAAUCUUGCGGCAUAUGCAUAGAGCACUAAAUAUAGACGAAAAUAAAAGCUAAUUGCACAAUUUACCUGUAAAUCGCUCGAUGAAUCUUUUAAGCCUAGUUACUCCAUGAUUACACAAUGUUUGUCAAAUAAAGCCGAAAGUGCUACAGUCCCGAAAACCAAAAAAUUUUCAGAACUAAACAAGGCGUAGGAUGGUGCAAAGUCAAAAAUUCUGUUGGCAGCAGGUAUAAAAUUGGAUGGACUAUUAAAAUGCGGACAAGUAAUUAAACUAUAGUUUCAAUUUACAACAAGAUGGAAAAUGUAUUAGCAGCUUCUUCUUUUCUUUUUUUUUAGGAAAAAAAUUUAUUGACAACUUGAAAGGUGUGGAUUCAUUCAUGGUAGCUGGACCGACCCGUGCAUUUUCUUCUUCUUGGGCCACGAAUAGCUCUAGACUACACCGAGUGAACUCAUAACUAGAAGCAUGCUCAGGCAUGCUGGACUUUGUCUUCCCCUGAACUCAUAUCCACAUGCUAUUAUAUCAAGAAAAAGUCCAUAUUACCUUCCUCAACUUUCACAAAAAUCCACUUUUCAUUUCCAAACUAUAAAAUCAUGCAAAACAUCUCUCUCAACUUUUUAAACCAUUCAUCUUACUUCCCUGACCUGGUUAUAAGCGAUUUUAAAGGUGGUUUUGUCUUUUUUUUCACUUAUUUCAAAUGAAUCUUUAAAAAAUCAUAGUAAUAGAAAAAACAUAAAAUAAAGAAUUUUAAUGUUUUUUAUAAUUAAUUGGAAUAAUUCAUAGCUGUAGUUUCUAUAGUUUUAUUGUGGUAAAAUUUUUUAUAGUGGGCUAAUUAUUGUAUGCUUGAACUUUAUUAAAAAUUUUAUAGUCAUUACAUCAGUAUAUAGGAGCGUGGGCAUGUAACGAAACUUGUUGGCAGGAAGACCAUUGAACCACCAGAAAUGCAUGGGCCGUUUCAGCCGUAUAUUAAUUAGGAGCAGGCCAAAUUUUGGCAGCCCAUGUAAGCCCACUCCUUUUAUACUUCCUCUAUCUCUGUUUGCUUUCUUUUCUUUCACAACUGUCCGACCAUGUAUCCUGAACUAAAAAAAAACAAAAAUCAAGUGCGGCCACUAUUUGAAAUGAAAAUUAAAAGUUAAUUGCCGAUGUUGACAUCGCAAGUGCACACGCCUCACAGGCAAAGGACACGUUAGAUUUGAUUCCACAGGGAGCAAUUUCAGCCCCUCAAAAUUAGUACAAAUUAUUCAAUCGUUCCCACUAGGAAUUAUUCCAAAUGCCCUAUUCCAAAUCAACUGAACAAGUUGUAACGAAUAUUCUUUCGUCUGCCAAGUCAACGUUAGAGUAUUAUUUUCAACGAAAAAGUAGACUACUCUAACGAGAACCUAACUUGAUUAGCAAACGAGAACCCUUGUUUCUAGUCAUUAAGGACACAAAGUCAAACGAGAACCCAACGUGAGGGGCUAUUUAGGCCAUCCUCAGUAAGGUUUUAUUACCCUGAUUUUAACACAUCCAUAUUUUAAAAAUAUAGUAGAAGUAUUUUCCCAUAAAACACUACUAGAAUCCGGCCCUUUGCUGAGUGUCAAAUGGUUUGCUAAGUGUUUUUUCGGGCACACACUCGGCAAAGAAUCUUUGCCGAGUGUCGAAAAAAACACCCAACAAAAAAAUUCAAAUCAAAAUUUGAAGUCCUAAAUGAAUUCCAAUAAAAAAGUUUUCAACUAUAAAGUUGUAUAACUGCUCAAGAUCUACAAUCUUUAUUUUGGUCAUUUCUUCAUUCAAUGACAAAAAUUUAUUCACAAAUUUUACAUAUCUCUCUUAUAAUUUAUGAAACUAAAAGAGAGAUAUAUAAGUUUUGUAAAAAAUGUUAGAACCACCAUGUCGGAUGAAUAAAUGAUUAAACAACUAACAUAAGCUUUGUAGAUCUUAAGAAGUUAUGAAAUUUUUUAGUUGGCAUCUUUUCAUCUGAGUUCAUCUUGUUAUGCAAAUUGCGUCUUUAUUUGAAAAUUUUAAAAUUCAAAUUUUUCAAAUGACCUCGGAUGGAAAAACUCCCUAAGUAAACUUUGUAGAUCUGAAAAAGUUAUAAAACUUUGUAGUUGACAAGUUUUUUAUUUGAAAUCAUCUUAUCAUGCAAAAAUUACGUUUCAAUUUCUCAAAUUUGAAAUACAAAUUUUAUGAAUGACUUCGGAUGGGGAAACUUGCUAAAUAAAAAUUGUAGACCUCUGAAAUCUCAAGUUUGGUUUUGGAUAAUUGAUGAAACCCUAAUACUAACCUCUAUGUUAAGUGUGUGUAGACUUAAUGAGGUUGGUACAUGCCAAGUAAUGGAGCAAGAGAUGAUCAUGGUGAUGAUGGUGAUGACCACAACAUGAUCAAGUGCUCAACUUGGAAAAGAAGAAAGAGAAAAACAAAACCCUAUGGAGAUCAAGGUAAAGGUAUUGCUUAGGAUUUUGGUUUUGGUGAUCAAGACACCAUAGAGGGUGUGAUCACAUUUAGGAUAGAUAGCCGUACUAUAAAGAGGGGAAUUCUUUGGCUGAGCGGUUAUCAAGUGCCACUAGGUGUCAUUGUUCAUGUGCAUGCAUUUAGAAUCUAGUGAGCUAACUUAAUUCCUUCAAAGAAAUUGUUUGUGAAAAUGCUAACACACGUGCACACUUGUUGGUUCACACUUUGUGGUGUUGGCACACUUUGAGAAGGAGGUGGAGUUUGAAGGGUAGAGAGAGGAUGGGUUCCUCUCUCCCUCCCGUCGAGCUUGCAUGGCGGGAUUCGGCGCUUUUUUGAGAAAAUGAAGUGCAUAUUUUCUAUUGCGCCGGUGGGAAAUUUGGUGAAGUCGCGGGAGUGUUUCUCGCUGAGAAAACACUCACCGGACGCUGGCUUCUGGAGCACCGGACGCCGCGUCUGAGCGUCCGGUGCAGACAGUGCCUGGCCCAGCUAGGGUAAGGCAUCGGACGACAGGCACCGGACGCAGGCCUGUGCGUCCAGUGGUUAGCGUCCGGUGUGCGGGCGUUUUGCGACCCUCUCUGCGCAUGGGUCCGGUGAGCACGGGACGCUACCGGUGCUUAGCGUCCGGUGACCCAAAGGUUUGCGGAACUCUCUGCGCAUGAGUCCGGUGUGCACCGGACGCGUUCGGUGCUAACUUGCUCAGCGUCCGGUGCACUGCAGGUGACCGUUAGACUCUGACACGAGAAGUUCAAAAGGCGACACGUGGCUGACGUUGGAGCACCGGACACAAGGGCUGAGCGUCCGGUGCCCCUUUAAGAGCGUCCGGUGAGCUCGAGUUUUGCCUAGUGAGAGAGCCAACGGCUCUAUUUGUUUGAGGGGUCUAUAAAUAGUUGUUGGCCAGCUUGGGGCUCACUCUCUUGGCAUUCUAACAUACUUGACAUCCUUGUGAGCCUAAGCAAACACCUCCCACUCAUCUCCUUCAUUGAUUAUUCAUCUUUGUGAGAUUGGGAGUGUUUCCAAGUGCAUUUGCUUGAGUGAUUGCAUUUAGUGGCACUUGGGGAUCGUUCUAGCUGCGGUUUUUCUUGUUACUCUUGGUGGUUGCCGCCACCUAGAUGGCUUGGAGCAGCGGAGGAGCUUUGGCACGAGUUAGUGAUUGUUCGUGGCCAUCUCCCGGUGAUUGUGAGGGGUUUGUGCCUACCUCGGCGGAGAGCCAAAGGCAACAUUAGUGGAUUGCUCGUGUUAUUGAGCUACCUCAUUUGUGGGUAGGUUCUUGUGGUGUCCUAGUGAGGACGAGGUUCGUGCUACACCUCUUAGCCACCGAACCACCAAGUGUUGGUCGACACAACGAGGACGUAGCGUGCCGGCAAGCACGUGAACCUUGGGAGAAAAAUUGGUGUCUCAAUUGUGUUUGAUUGGCAUUCUCCCAGUGCUUGAUUGUUUAUAUUGGUGAUUGGUUCAUUCCCUACUCAGUGGUAUAAUUUUCUCAUCCACUCUUUUACAUUCCCGCAAACUAGAGUACCUUACUUACUUGUAUAGAAAAUUUAGGUAGCUUUCUAGUGUUAGUAGCGACAUAGCUCUUGUGUGCCUAGUGUUUAUAUCAACUAGAAUUGUGGGAUAGGUGGCUUGCAAACACCCCUUUAGAGCUAGAGCAAAAAGCUUCGCUUUGUUAUUUACUAACCUCUUGCUCUAGUGAGUUUGUAGAAUUUUUAAAUAGGCUAUUCACCCCCCUCUAGCCAUAUUAGGACCUUUCAACCUCAAAAAAGUUAUGAAACUUUAUAGUUGAUAACUUUUUAUUUUCAAAUCGUUUAGAAUCUCAAACAAUCAAUUUACACGUGGUUUCGUACACUACUACAAAAUUUAUUAACCAUGACCUUUUAAAAUGGCUCUCGGAGGCGGGCAGCAUUUUCAACUGCCUCGGCUAAUGCCUAGCAUUAACCGAGGCGGUUUUUCUAAUGCAACCGCCUCAGUUAAUGUAUUAACCGAGGCGGUCAUGUUAUAAAGCCCGUCUCAGUAAAUCGAGCCCAAUCCACAAACCCACUUCAGGCCCACUACCAUAGGCAAUAUAUUAACGAAAUAUCAUGUCAAACCCUAACUCCUCUCCUUGUCUGAGCCGCACACUCUCCCCAUCCCCUCCCCUCCCGACUAGUCGCACCCCUCCCUUCUCGGCCCCUCCACUCCACUCCACUCCACUCCCGUCCUGGCACCCCUUCUCUCGGGGACGUGGACGUGAAGUACUCCCGAAGGUCCUCCACCAUGCCUUAGAAACCAUGUCGUCCACGCGCUGGUCUAGGUAGUCGUCUAGCACUACGCCAUCCACGUCCACCCAGAGAAGGCAACACGGGAACCUCAGCAACGGCCGGUAGCACCCGUCGGUGGCGGCCUUGAACGGGUCACCGCCGCAGGUGGUCGUCGGCGAGGAGCACGUGGGUGAGCGAGUUGGAGCCCCUGGCCAUGAUGGGCACCCACCCACGCGUCGCGACGGAGGAGCAGCCUCGGCGACCAACGUGCGGUAUGACGGCAUGGGGAGCUCACCCGCGUCGACGCGGACCGCGCGCCCAGGAGGUGGUGUGGGACGCUAUGGGGGUAUAAACCCCUAUACCCUCAUGGGCCUAUAUGGGCCGCACCAUCAGAGGUGGCUCGGCCCACAGGAUGAAGACGUGUGGCGCACGACUGGUCGGCGUGCACCGGAAGGCUACAAGAUAUUGUACCAAAUAGGAUACUUUGCUUGUAACUCUGUCCCUUCAGGAUAUAUAAGGAGGGGCAGGGGUCCCCUAGAGGACAGAUCAUACAGAUCAUACAGAUCAUAUUCUCUCAACACAAAUCAAUACAACCAGACGCAGGACGUAGGUAUUACGCCAACUCGGCGGCCGAACCUGGAUAAAAAGCUUGUCCGUGUCUUGCGUCACCAUCGAGUUCGUAGUUUGCACACCGUCUACCGACAAACUACUACCGUGGGUAUACCCCAAGGUAGACUGCCGACUAGCUUUCGUCGACAGUGGCGCGCCAGGUAGUGGGUGUGCGUACAGCUCUCCCGACGAACAAGAUGGCCAUCAUCCCCGACUUCGCGGCCAUGGCGGGCGACUUCACGUUCACCGUCAGCUUCAACAACUUCACCGCCAUGACCACGGAGGAGGUGUAGAUCCGAUCUGCGCCAACCACUUCUUCAUCAACGUCGGCGGCGGCUUCAACCACGCUGGCUACGACUCCGACUACUCCAGCAACGUCUCCGACCAUGCUGACAACGCAUCACCCGCUUCCCUGCUACAAAGGGAGACAGAUCGACAACACCGACCUGCUCGGGCCAUCGACCAAAUUUUUUGGCCUACUUGCUCUGACCACCGGUCGCAAUAAUUGCCGUGAAGAACGGCGCUACGACAACCGCGACCACCGUCACGACAACAAGUCAAGCAGCUCUCCCGACCAGACUUUCGUCCAAAGAUAAGUACAAUUCUAAUAUUUUAUUUAUUUUUGGCAUAAUAUUUUUAAUAUUAUUAUCCUUCAAAACAACUUUUUGGUUAGCCGACUAGUUUCUUCUCCUACACGAGUUUUCCAGAGUCGGUACUGUCUCCGACUCCUCCCUACACGUGCAUGAGAUCCGUCCUCUACGUUCCGGGUGGUCGGCAGUAGCUCUCUGGCGAGGCUGGCAAUCCCACGCUUGUCUAGGUUCCGCACCUCAUGCUGAUUGUUGGCUAGACCAGAGCUGGUACAAGCUUUAGGAUGAAUUAACUACUCGUGCUAAUUUUAUAAUAAAAAAUCUAAAACUUACCUCAGUGUUGAUUUUUUAUCUAGAGUUUAUUUAUACAUCAUGUACUACCUAUUCUUUAUAUUUAUUUUUCAGGAGUUUGGCCCAGUCGACAAGCUACGCUCGGGGACUCGUCGACUAUUCCCUACGCUGUGCCCGGGGACUGCUCCGACCACCGAGCACGUUUACGUUCCCAACCACGCUCGGGGACUUGUCGACUAGUCUCUAUGCUGUGCUCGAAGACUGUGCCGACCACCGAGCAUGUUUACGUUCCCAACCACGCUCGGGGACUUGUCCACCGGUCCCUACGCCGUGCUCGGGGACUGUGCCGACCACCGAGCACUAUACGCUCGGGGACUGGUCGACCAGCUCACCAAUUUGAGAGUUUGGAGACUGCACUGACCACCGAGCACUAUACGCUCGGGGACUGGUCGACCAGCCCACCAAUUUGAGAAUUCGAGGACUGUACCGACCACCGAGCGUUAUAUGCUCGGGGACUGGUCGAUUAGUCUAUUCAAUUGCAGACGAGCAUGAUAUGCUCGGGGACUGGUAAAUUCAAUUUUUUAGACCUUGCUACAAGGCUCAUACUUCGCCUCCCAGCAAGCUCGGGGACUACAUCGGUACGAUGCAUCUGGCGAUGCAUCUCGUUUCAGAAUUUCUUUGAGGACUUUUCUUUUGACCCUGGCACCACGUGCCUACGUCACCUACUAUCAGGCUUGGGGACUAAGUGGGCACACUUCACCUUGCGGUGAAUAUGCUUGCUUUUUUGAGGUCUAUACUUUUCAGAAAAGUAAAGUGGGCACACUUCACCAGGAAAGAAAUCUUUUUUAAUUAAGAGCACCAUGCAUUCUUCGAACAACCUGCUUCUUCGAUGUCAAUGUUGAUCAACUGUCUUUUGAGUUGGUCAAAAUACCGUUGCAACUGUUUGGGCGACUUUCCUACUUAUUGAAGACGUCAAGCCUCACUGGUCGAAGAAGCUCAAGACGGCGUGUUACAUCACAAUACAUGGUGCUUGGGGACUAGCUGUGGGGGUAUAAACCCCUAUACCCUUAUGGGCCUAUAUGGGCCGCACCAUCAGAGGUGGCUCGGCCCACAGGAUGAAGACGUGCGGCGCACGACUGGUCGGCGUGCACCGCAAGGCUACAAGAUAUUGUACCAAAUAGGAUACUUUGCUUGUAACUCUGUCCCUUCAGGAUAUAUAAGGAGGGGCAGGGGUCCCCUAGAGGACAGAUCAUACAGAUCAUACAGAUCAUACAGAUCAUAUUCUCUCAACACAAAUCAAUACAACCAGACGCAGGACGUAGGUAUUACGCCAACUCGGUGGCCGAACCUGGAUAAAAAGCUUGUCCGUGUCUUGCGUCACCAUCGAGUUCGUAGUUUGCGCACCGUCUACCGACAAACUACUACCGUGGGUAUACCCCAAGGUAGACUGCCGACUAGCUUUCGUCGACAGACGCUGCGGCGGUCAGCAUGCAGCACCUUGUUGUCGGCCAAUGUGCGUUGUGGCCGUGCUGGCGAGCAGUGGAUUUGUUCUAGCACCGAUGAAGGUAGAAAACCCUCUUUCUCUCCAUCUCCUUCACUCAUCCCUCUCUUCCCCUCUUCAUCUCCCUCACCUUCUCCCUUUUAGAUCCAGUGGAGCAAAGGCAGAUUUGGUGAAGCAGAGGCAGAGUCUGGGCGUGGAUCUAGCUCUGGGGCUAGGAUUAGGUAGUGGAUCUAGCCAGUGGGCUCGGAAACGGGCUCUCCGUUGGGCUCUGGUCUUUUUUAUUUUUAUUAAAUUCAUUAACCGUGGUGGUCUUCCUUGCUUGCCCACCGUGGUUAAUCAAUUAACCGUAGCGGGCACAGCGGUUAAGCCACCAUUAAUGGUGACCUUUCAUUCGCGGCGGUCACAUGUGCCCGCCUCGGUUAACAAAAAACGAUCAUUGCAGUAAAGAAUUUUAUAGUAGUGGUAUAAUAUAUGAGGAACCGAAAUGCAAUAUAACACAAGGGACAAUGUGGUUGGUAGAUUCGGCUGAUAAGCUCAAGCGAACAGGUUGUGGACACGGUCAAGGCCCAAAGGAGAGGGAGGGAAUACAGCCGGCAGAUCAGACGAGACGAGGAGCUUGACGCAAAACGAAAUGCUAGCGGACCUGAUGCUAAGAUGGAUUUGAGUUUUGGAGUGAAACACUAGAGCAGCACAAGGAGAGAAAAAAAGAACACUUUCAUUCUUUCUGUCUGAUUCAAUAGAUCAACAUGGAUGAAUUGCAUGCAAGUGCCAGGGUUAUUACAUUCAUCGUCUCUAGCUAGUCUCCACUUAUUAAAUACUGCUCAACCAAGAAAUCCAAUAUAUAUUCUGCUGCGGUGUACUUCUCCGCCUUGUUGGGAUUCGCAGUGCCCGUCCCGAUGGACAGGACGAGGAUGUUGCUAUAGACACUCGCAUCCUCCGCCGCCGCCGUGCCCAUCUCCUUGCUCAUCUCUAGAGCUUCCAUGGCGGCCACGGUCGGGUUAGGUUCAGGUUCAGGUCCAGGUCUCCAACGAGCUCACCCUCCAUGAUCGGCACGGCCCUGUUCUUCAGCUGGCUGCGGAUGCGCAUCACCACCUUGGUGAGCACGGACAUGGCGACCAUGGUAGGGUUAUUGGCCACCACGCCACCAUCCAUGACCUCGUACUGGUGCGGGCAGCCAUUGGCGUCUAUGGUCCGGAAGCUAUGCGCCGGCAGGUACGUCGGUGCCGCCGACGCGGCGAUGCAGACGUCAGCGAGGCGCGCGUUCUUCCCGGUGUCCCGCUCGGCCUCCAGCGAGUUGAAGACGACAGGCUGCAU